rnacentral:tRNA from 1 species
UGUGGUGUGGCUCAGCAGUAGAGUACUCACCUAGCAUGUGCAAGGCCCUUAGUUCGAUCCUCAGUACCACAU